rnacentral:misc_RNA from 1 species
CCUCAGCAAGGUUUCACACAACAUG